UAAAUAUCGACGGUCUCUACGUAUAAAAGGUCAAGUACAAAAUAGCAAUUUAUUUUAUUGCAUCAUGCACUUCCAUAAUAUUAUAAUGAG